ACCAGCAGGCGUAUCACCCUGCAACUGGCAGCCCACUGAAGCUCAGCAGGUGUGAGCCUGGUCAGUACCUGGAUGAGAGGCCUCCUGGGAAAAACUAAGGCUGCUGCUGGAA
rfam:Lepisosteus oculatus linkage group LG7, whole genome shotgun sequence.